AAACCGUGGGGUGGGCACUUCGUAGUUAGCUCUUUAAACUUCUCCCAGCUAUCACUGAAUUUAUCCCCCUCUUUCUGCCUGAAAUUGGUGAUCUAUUUACGGAGAUC